rnacentral:misc_RNA from 1 species
CCUAAGAGAUACGUGUUAUGUGCAGUGCUCACACAGAUUGUCUGAUGAAGAACGAGCAAAAGCGCGUCUGCGAAGCUGACAGAAGUCCCCUUCGUCUAGAGGCCUAGGACACCGCCCUUUCACGGCGGUAACAGGGGUUCGAAUCCCCUAGGGGACGCCAAUGCGCGGUAUGAGUGAAAGGCGUACCACUUAUCUGACGAAAGUCAGAGAAUAACUAAGCUAAUUCAAACGAGUUAUCUUACUUAUUAUGCUCUUUAACAAUCUGGAACAAGCUGAAAAAUUGAAAACAAAUCAAUAUAUCACCGAGGUAUAUUGAUGAGUCUCUCAAAAUCUCAAACCUUAAAGUUUGUCACGCAAAGUUUAUCUUUGAAAAAGACACUUUCGGGUUGUGA